rnacentral:rRNA from 1 species
UACAGAGGGUGCUAGCGUUGUUCGGAAUCAUUGGGCGUAAAGGGCGUGUAGGCGGUUUGUUAAGUCAUGUGUGAAAUCCCUCGGCUCAACCGGGGAACGACGCAUGAAACUGGCAAGCUAGAGUACCAAAGAGGGGGGUGGAAUUCCCGGUGUAGCGGUGAAAUGCGCAGAUAUCAGGAGGAACACCAGCGGCGAAGGCGGCGCUCUGGGCCGGAACUGACGCUGAGGAGCGAAAGCGUGGGUAGCAAACAGG